rnacentral:lncRNA from 1 species
AUGGGACGCAACCGACAGGCGCCCCCGGAACAGCGCGCCAGAGACCACUGGGGAGCCGAGCGCGGCACCGUGAGCCCGGGGAGCAGCCCGCAGCCCCGGCCGGCCUCCCGCCCUCGCCGCAGAGGCGGCCCCGGAGCUCCGCGCCUCCCCCGCUGCCUGGCUCGGCUGCCCCGGGGCCCCGGCCUCCCGCCCCGGCGUGGGCGAGCUCUGACCCGCGGAGAGGCGACCUUCCAGCCCGGUGCCCGAAGCCCAGAGUCGAGGAAGCAAAAAGAAGGCGAAGAAAGACGCAGGAAAGACACUGCUUUGGCUAGGGCUCUCGACUCCCAGAAACCCUCCCAAAGUCCCGUCCAGCCGCCGCCGCCGCCCGGCCGGCAGGGGGCACAGUGGGUAGCCGGGGCGCGGAGGCCGGGCCAGGGGACAGACUGGGAGGCCCCCAAGCGCCGAGCUCCCGCUCAUACCUCCCAGAAAGCCCGGAGCACCAGGCGUCGGACUCUUCCCAGGUCCUCGUCCCUUCCUGCCUGCGCCGCGCCAGCCCGGCUCCUCUCAGCCCCUCUGCCCCGGCAGCUUGUCGAGCGCUCCGCGUCCGCCCCGCCCCCCCCGCCCACGCCUCCCGCCCCGCCCCCAGAGGCUCCGCCCCCACGCCCGCCCCGAGGUGGCGGGGGUGGCCGCCGGGCCGCGGGAGCAGAGCGCCUUGCUCUCGGCCGCACGUGGAGCGCCUGUCGGCCCCGCCCCGGACCCAACCAAGCGUCCCGCGGAGGGGUGCCGCGACACGAAGGUGGGAGCAAACGGAGGGAGCCACCCCUCUCGGGUCCUGAGGAAGGAGGAGAACCCAGAAGGGCACCGUACGUGGACCACUGCCAUCUAGCCCUUACCCUCACGCGACGGAUGCGGGAGGGGACACUGUCAGCUCCCCCCUUCUGGCCGAAUGGCCCUCUCCGACGCUCGGCCCCGCUCCCCCGGAACGCUCCCUCCCGAGCCCAAGUCUGGGUGGGCGGGGGCGGCUGUUUGGCCUGA